ACUUCGUACCCACCUCCUCCCGGCAUCCACCUGCGGGCUCCGAGGGAGGUAAGGCCUUCUCCAAACCUGCAGGGAAUUCACCUUUGUUGAAGAUUGUGCUACUUAUCUGCAAAGCGAGUGUACCCCUCACUGCCACGAUGCCAGGGGGAUGGAAGAUGGAGAGACACGGUAAGCUAAGUUGCACAAUAGGACGACUCAACCAACAUCUGAGGUUGAGUUAUCCUUUUGUUUUUUUUAAAGAAGGCCGUUAUCAAUGCAGUGAAGAUACCAAACCACAGCCAAGAAAUGUGGUAACACAGAGUGAAAUGUUCAAAGAUGGCAUGCCUAGAAUGAGAGCGAAGGUAUGCCCAUGACCAGAACAAUCGUCCAUUCAAUAGACGGCAACUUAUUUCAACUUUUAUGGUGUCAAGGUGUUCAUGGUCGUCCUAUAUUUGGGCCAAUAUGGUACUUUAUCCAAAUGAGAAAGGAACCACUACUCACUGAUUGCUUUUUCCUCUUGUAGUCUGUUGGGUAAUGAUCAAAAACUUGACUUAACUUCUGAUUCUUGAAAAAAAAAGUAUCUCACAUCAAGGUCAUCUCCACUCAAGCUCAGUUUCCAUGGAUCUCUGGAAGUUUAACUUUCCAAUUUCUUUCUUCCUCUGAGACUCGGGCCUCAGCGUUGUCAAAUGUAAGGUCUAUUUAUUCUCUUUGAGUUUUGGUGUGACUUAUGUUAUUAAGUUCUAUGUUCUGCCAUAAGCUCUUUGAUGCUGGCUGACAAAAAGUCUGGAGGGGCUUGGUUCUCCAAAAUCACAGUUAAACAUUGUGUGGCUGCCUUACAUAAAUAUCAUGUCACUUUAGGAUUUCUUUGUUCAGGUAUAUGCAUCUUGGUAUGUGGUAUCAACUUUGACAUGAAACCAAAGCCAGUUUUCCAAAACCUUCAUCACUUAGUCUUAAACUACCUGCAUGGCUUUUGUUAGAAACAAAAUGCACUGUCAUUGUGCUGCCUUCCUUUGCUGCAAGUCAUAGCACAGGAGAUUUGUUUUACCUGCU